rnacentral:tRNA from 1 species
UUGUUGGUAGUCCAGUGGUUAAGACUCUGCACUUACAAUGCAGCGGGUGUACAAUGCAGGUUUGAUUCCUGGUCAGAGAA